rnacentral:misc_RNA from 1 species
AAGUCGUAGCAAGGUUUCCGCAGGUGAACCUGCGGAAAGAUCCAUGUGGAUAUAGCGCAUCUUUUUGGAGCGUGACCUCAACUUUCAACUAUGUGCAUUUUUUGGCGAGGGAACGAAACGAAGCGACGCCAGUUGCAGACUCUCGCUUCUUGUGGCUCAUUUUUUUUACUAGUUAAAGUAUGUAACGAAACAUCGAAAGAGACAAAAAAAUUAACGACGGAUAUCUUGGCUCUC